rnacentral:rRNA from 1 species
AUUGAACGCUGGCGGCAGGCCUAACACAUGCAAGUCGAACGGUAACAGGAAACAGCUUGCUGUUUCGCUGACGAGUGGCGGACGGGUGAGUAAUGUCUGGGAAACUGGCUGAUGGAGGGGGAUAACUACUGGAAACGGUAGCUAAUACCGCAUAACGUCGCAAGACCAAAGAGGGGGGACCCUCGGGGCCUCUUGCCAUCGGAUGUGCCCAGAUGGGAUUAGCUUGUUGGUGGGGUAACGGCUCACCAAGGCGACGAUCCCUAGCUGGUCUGAGAGGAUGACCAGCCACACUGGAACUGAGACACGGUCCAGACUCCUACGGGAGGCAGCAGUGGGGAAUAUUGCACAAUGGGCGCAAGCCUGAUGCAGCCAUGCCGCGUGUAUGAAGAAGGCC